rnacentral:tRNA from 1 species
UCCCUGGUAGCUCAGCUGGUAAAGAAUCUGCCUACAAUGCAGGAGACCCAGGUUCGAUUCCUGGGUUGGGAA